GUUAAAGAAGAACAAGGAUGAGAGUAACUGCUCAUCUCCUGACGGUAUUUAACCAGAAAGCCACGGCUAACUACGUGCCAGCAGCCGCGGUAAUACGUAGGUGGCAAGCGUUGUCCGGAUUUAUUGGGCGUAAAGCGAGCGCAGGCGGUUCUUUAAGUCUGAUGUGAAAGCCCAUGGCUCAACCGGGCAGGGUCAUUGGAAACUGGAGAACUUGAGUGCAGAAGAGGAGAGUGGAAUUCCACGUGUAGCGGUGAAAUGCGUAGAUAUGUGGAGGAACACCAGUGGCGAAGGCGACUCUCUGGUCUGUAACUGACGCUGAGGCUCGUAAGCGUGGGGAGCAAACAGGAUUAGAUACCCUGGUAGUCCACGCCGUAAACGAUGAGUGCUAAGUGUUGGAGGGUUUCCGCCCUUCAGUGCUGCAGCUAACGCAUUAAGCACUCCGCCUGGGGAGUACGGCCGCAAGGCUGAAACUCAAAGGAAUUGACGGGGACCAGCACAAGCGGUGGAGCAUGUGGUUUAAUUCGAAGUAACGCGAAGAACCUUACCAGGUCUUGACAUCCUUUGACCACUCUAGAGAUAGAGCUUUCCCUUCGGGGUCAAAGUGACAGGUGUCACAUGGUUGUCGUCAGCUCGUGUCGUGAGAUGUUGGGUUAAGUCCCGCAACGAGCGCAACCCUUAUUACUAGUUGCCAGCAUUUAGUUGGGCACUCUAGUGAGACUGCCGGUGACAAACCGGAGGAAGGUGGGGAUGACGUCAAAUCAUCAUGCCCCUUAUGACCUGGGCUACACACGUGCU
rnacentral:rRNA from 1 species